AUACGUAGGGGGCGAGCGUUGUCCGGAAUGAUUGGGCGUAAAGGGCGCGUAGGCGGCCCGGUAAGUCUGGAGUGAAAGUCCUGUUUUUAAGAUGGGAAUUGCUUUGGAUACUGUCGGGCUUGAGUGCAGGAGAGGUAAGUGGAAUUCCCAGUGUAGCGGUGAAAUGCGUAGAGAUUGGGAAGAACACCGGUGGCGAAGGCGCCUUUCUGGACUGUGUCUGACGCUCAGAUGCGAAAGCCAGGGUAGCGAACGGGAUUAGAUACCCCGGUAGUCCUGGCCGUAAACGAUGGGUACUAGGUGUGGGAGGUAUCGACUCCUUCCGUGCCGGAGUUAACGCAAUAAGUACCCCGCCUGGGGAGUACGAUCGCAAGAUUGAAACUCAAAGGAAUUGACGGGG
rnacentral:rRNA from 1 species